GACGAACGCUGGCGGCGUGCUUAACACAUGCAAGUCGAGCGGUAAGGCCCUUUCGGGGGUACACGAGCGGCGAACGGGUGAGUAACACGUGGGUGACCUGCCCUCAGCUCUGGGAUAAGCCUGGGAAACCGGGUCUAAUACUGGAUAUGACUCCAUGACGCAUGUUGUGGGGUGGAAAGCCUUGUGCGGCUGAGGAUGGGCCCGCGGCCUAUCAGUCUUGGUUGGGUGGGUGAUCGGCCUACCAAGGCGACGACGGGUAGCCGGCCUGAGAGGGCGACCGGCCACACGUGGGACU
rnacentral:rRNA from 1 species